GUGAGGAAUAUUGGACAAUGGGCGCAAGCCUGAUCCAGCCAUGCCGCGUGCAGGAAGACGCAUCUAUGGUGUGUAAACUGCUUUUGUACGGGAAGAAACACUCCCUCGUGAGGGAGCUUGACGGUACCGUAAGAAUAAGGAUCGGCUAACUCCGUGCCAGCAGCCGCGGUAAUACGGAGGAUCCAAGCGUUAUCCGGAAUCAUUGGGUUUAAAGGGUCCGUAGGCGGUUUAAUAAGUCAGUGGUGAAAGCCCAUCGCUCAACGAUGGAACGGCCAUUGAUACUGUUAGACUUGAAUUACAAGGAAGUAACUAGAAUAUGUAGUGUAGCGGUGAAAUGCUUAGAUAUUACAUGGAAUACCAAUUGCGAAGGCAGGUUACUACUUGUGGAUUGACGCUGAUGGACGAAAGCGUGGGUAUCAAACAGGAUUAGAAACCCCUGUAGUCC
rnacentral:rRNA from 1 species